rnacentral:rRNA from 1 species
GAUGAACGCUGGCGGCGUGCCUAAUACAUGCAAGUCGAGCGAACAGACGAGGAGCUUGCUCCUCUGACGUUAGCGGCGGACGGGUGAGUAACACGUGGAUAACCUACCUAUAAGACUGGGAUAACUUCGGGAAACCGGAGCUAAUACCGGAUAAUAUAUUGAACCGCAUGGUUCAAUAGUGAAAGACGGUUUUGCUGUCACUUAUAGAUGGAUCCGCGCCGCAUUAGCUAGUUGGUAAGGUAACGGCUUACCAAGGCGACGAUGCGUAGCCGACCUGAGAGGUUGAUCGGCCACCCUGGACCUGAGACACGGUCCAGACUCCUACGGGAGGCCGCCGUAGGGAAUCUUCCGCAAUGGGCGAAAGCCUGACGGAGCAACGCCGCGUGAGUGAUGAAGGUCUUCGGAUCGUAAAACUCUGUUAUUAGGGAAGAACAAAUGUGUAAGUAACUAUGCACGUCUUGACGGUACCUAAUCAGAAAGCCACGGCUAACUACGUG